GUCGAGAAUAAUUCACAAUGGACGAAAGUCUGAUGGUGCAACGCCGCGUGGAGGAUGACGGUCUUCGGAUUGUAAACUCCUGUCAUCCGGGAGUAAGACCUGGCUGUGAAUAGCAGACAGGGUUGAUAGUACCGGAAGAGGAAGGGACGGCUAACUUCGUGCCAGCAGCCGCGGUAAUACGAAGGUCCCGAGCGUUGUUCGGAAUCACUGGGCGUAAAGGGAGCGUAGGCGGCGCGGUAAGUCAGAUGUGAAAGCCCGGGGCCCAACCCCGGAGCUGCAUCCGAUACUGGCGUGCUAGAGGAUUGGAGAGGUAGCUGGAAUUCUUGGUGUAGCAGUGAAAUGCGUGGAGAUCAAGAGGAACACUCGUGGCGGAAGCGAGCUACUGGACAAUAUCUGACGCUGAGGCUCGAAGGCCAGGGUAGCGAAAGGGAUUAGAUACCCGGGUAGUCC
rnacentral:rRNA from 1 species